UACGUAGGGUGCGAGCGUUAAUCGGAAUUACUGGGCGUAAAGCGUGCGCAGGCGGUUCUCCAAGUCCGUUGUGAAAGCCCCGGGCUCAACCUGGGAAUGGCAGUGGAAACUAGGGGACUGGAAUCUGGCAGAGGGGGGUGGAAUGCCGCGUGUAGCAGUGAAAUGCGUAGAGAUGCGGCGGAACACCGAUGGCGAAGGCAGCCCCCUGGGCUGAGAUUGACGCUCAGGCACGAAAGCGCGGGGAGCAAACAGG
rnacentral:rRNA from 1 species